GUGGGGAAUCUUGCGCAAUGGGCGAAAGCCUGACGCAGCCAUGCCGCGUGAAUGAUGAAGGUCUUAGGAUUGUAAAAUUCUUUCACCGGGGACGAUAAUGACGGUACCCGGAGAAGAAGCCCCGGCUAACUUCGUGCCAGCAGCCGCGGUAAUACGAAGGGGGCUAGCGUUGCUCGGAAUUACUGGGCGUAAAGGGAGCGUAGGCGGACUGUUUAGUCAGAGGUGAAAGCCCAGGGCUCAACCUUGGAAUUGCCUUUGAUACUGGCAGUCUUGAGUACGGGAGAGGUGUGUGGAACUCCGAGUGUAGAGGUGAAAUUCGUAGAUAUUCGGAAGAACACCAGUGGCGAAGGCGACACACUGGCCCGUUACUGACGCUGAGGCUCGAAAGCGUGGGGAGCAAACAGGAUUAGAAACCCCUGUAGUCC
rnacentral:rRNA from 1 species